UUCCCAUCAACUUACUUUAUAAGAGUGAUAGACUGCAACGGUUUGAAUUAAAAAUCCUGGUUUGUGUUCCACAGAAGAAACAAAGUCACCUACAUCUUGAAUGCACUGGUGGGAUUUCAGUGGUUUUGCAGUUAUGAACACCUGAGCCCAAUUCCACAGGGGGGAAGUGGUCGAUAUGUCUUUACAGGCCACUGUGGAAAACAAGGAGGUGUUGCGAUGCAGUCAACCUUUUGUUUUAAGGGGUCAUGACAUGCUGGGGCUGCAAGCAAAGCUCUGACAUAUAAAGAGCUUUAGGAUUGUCUGAUAUUUACAGACAGAAGAAAUGCACUUUCACAGUGAAUUUGUGAGUACUGGUAUCUGAAUGUACGUUUUGAUUAAAGAAAAAGAGGACAAUUGAAUCCAAAAAAAUAGACCAAUAAAUAAAUAAAACUGCAAAUAAGCUUUGCAUGAAUAUGACUGUGAUUUAAAAUAUACAGUAGUGAUUGAUUUAAGACAACACAGGAGCACUCUAUUUAAUGGAGCAAUUUUUGGACAAUUGUUGUUUUUGGACAAUUUCUUUGCAGUGCUACAUGCGCUUCUCAUUGAAUGGAAGUCUGUGAGGGCAUCGGGAGUGCUUUUUGCAUUGGGGAAAAUAAAAUGUUUGAUUGCUUA